AUCAUCACUGAUUUGGUCUCUGCGUUGAGGAUUGUGGUUGUGAAGCAGAUAGCGGAGACAGAACGAAGGCACAGUGCAUCAGGUCCCAGUGUCAACCACUCAUUGGUGGAGAUCUUCACAAAGUCCCUCCUUUCUCCAUCGCUGCGGCCGCUGUCUUCAAAGGAAGUGGCUGUUGCUGUAAAGACGAGUCUGUCGAGACCACGUGAAAAGUGGCGUAGCUGGAACCUGGGAGGGUCAGUGUCAUGGAAAGUACACAGGAUACUUAUGGUGCUGGUGAUGACGCUACCAGGGCCGCCUGUCAUCAGCUAUGAGGAGGAAGUCGGCCAGUUAAAGGAGACAGCCGGGAAUGAAGCCUUGGACCUGUUUCACGCACUCAGCUGCCUGCGCUUAAGGGAGGGGGUUCUGCCCUUUGGCAACUUCACCUUUCUGCCCUCUAGCACCCCACUGGACUCCUUUGCCAACCACUCCUUGGCUUCCUGCGAUCCUGGGGCUGCGCUUCCUUGUGCUGCUCAACCUUAGCCGAGACACUCGUCGCUUGGAGUCCAGCUGGGCCUCGGGCCUCCCUACUGGCGGUGUGUUCGCAGCCAGCUCCGGCCUUGACCGUGUGGGUUUCCUCUCCCUAGAAACGCUGCUCCUGAAGCCCGAAGAGGCUGUGGUUAUUCGGUUGUUGGAUUCUAGAACCUUCUCAUAAGCUUCAUGCUAAGCCAAUUGGAAGACAAAUUUACUUCUUCGCAAGAUAAUCAGAAUAAUUUGUUAGAAAACUGAGAGCUGUGAAAAAUAAGUUAAUGGAAGUAUCUUUCAAUAAAUAGUGUACCUGCUGGGGUGAAAUUGCA
rnacentral:lncRNA from 1 species